AACGAACGCUGGCGGCGCGUCUUAAGCAUGCAAGUCGAACGGCAAGAUUGGUGCUUGCAUCGAUCCUAGAGUGGCGGACUGGUGAGUAACGCGUGGGUGACGUACCCUAAGGAUGGGGAUAGCUGGUAGAAAUACCGGGUAAUACCGAAUAAUCUUGCUUCUUUGAAGUGAAGUAAGGAAAGGAGCUUUGGCUUCACUGAAGGAACGGCCCGCGCACUAUUAGCUAGUUGGUGAGGUAACGGCCCACCAAGGCAACGAUAGUUAUCCGGCCUAAGAGGGUGAACGGACACAUUGGGACUGAGAUACGGCCCAGACUCCUACGGGAGGCAGCAGCUAAGAAUAUUCCGCAAUGGAGGAAACUCUGACGGAGCGACGCCGCGUGGAUGAUGAAGGUCGGAAGAUUGUAAAAUCCUUUUAAGUAUGAUGAAUAACCUGAUCAGGAAAUGGGACAGGGAUGACCGUAAUACUUGAAUAAGCAACGGCUAAUUACGUGCCAGCAGCCGACGG
rnacentral:rRNA from 1 species